GGAGUUACCAAAGAAAAAACAACAAAUACUGUCCUAUUCGGUUUAGUUUCUGGAAUUGUAGGAUUGUUAAUUAUAAUUGCAGCUGUUAUUUUGUUUAUACAGCGAAGAUCAAUGUUGAAGAAUUGCAGAGACCAUUCAAAACAACGAGAUUUAGCAGUGUAUGAAAAUGAAAUCCGAUUGCCGAAUACAGUCUACCAGGAUCUGACUCUUGUCCGAGAAGACAAUCAUUCACCAUAUGAUGUCGUACAUUAGUCCAGUGCGUAGUAGUGAUCAACAGUCAAGCCACAAUUUUAUUUUCAUUAAACAUUACUCAAACGUAAAUGUGGACUUCAUACUUAAAGGACGGAAGGAUAAACAUGUUCUGUCCACUCGGCCGUCUGCACCCUGCAAAUUGUGUCGCACUUUCCAAUGACCUACAAACCAGAACCUCCGGUAGCUUCAUAUCAGACUUCAUUUGUGCAUGGUUCGGUGUCUUUCCAUAAUCAUCAUUCAACAACUUUCUGUUAACCGUAACUGAAUAUUUAUAUAAUGCCUAUCUAUGAAAUAAUCGUCUAAGAAUCGUUAUCUACAAAUCAUGCUAUCCCGAGGACUGCGUUCUCAUAUCCACUGUUCGUCAACUUACUGUUUACCGUAUACUUAUAGAUGGUAUCAAUUGUCAGCGUUAGGUUAACGUUCAUCUUGCUCUUUCAAAAUUACAAUCGGAACUCUUAUAUACAUUAUAUACUUAGAUAGGAGUUAUUUUCUUUCAGAACGAUAGGUCAUUCUUUCGAAGAAUCAACCUGGACGAUACCAUGUUUCAAUGAAAUAUGCUUCAAGGCAUAAAAUAAUGACCAAUGACCUGUGUGAUGUCAUUAUUUUCUUUGAUAAAAAUGCAAACUUUAAUUUACUUCAACAUUUAAAUGGUAUGAUAGUUUGUUGUUGCCAAUUGGCGAAUUUAUUUUUUAAAGUUCCAUCUUUGAUAGAUUUAACAAAAAAUCGUCAUUGACGCGCAUUUAAACUUUAAAAACAAAUAAUGUGAAGUUUUGCUAAUUUAUCGCUACAGUAAAAGUAUAUUAUCAUAUAUGUGAGAUGAAAA